UUGCAAGUGUGUUAAUAACAUUCUUAGAUUUUAAGUCAUUCUGACUAGAAUUUUCUUUUCUACAAGAGUUCUGCCCUCAUCAACAAAGCUUUAAGAUCAGAAGAGGCAAGAAUAUGGACUGUCUAAGAAGUGUUAGAGCUGAGACACAAAUGAAGGAAUCAGAGUGUAGAUCCAGUGCUCGCAACCAGCUCCGUCUGCUCAAUUUAUGCAGAUGAACCCGAAACAACUUUCAAGAGAAGUCAUUUAAAAAGUGAGUCUCCAUCUAAACUGACUCAUUUUGAGAGAACAGAAGGGGACGGAUUUCCAAGCCGUGAAAGAGACACUGCAGAUCAUCAUUACCCAGGGGUGGCCAACGGCCUUCCUCUGGAAGGACACUGACCUAGUUUCUCUCCACUUCUCCUUCUCGCUGCCCUCCACUGUGUUUCCAGGAUAGAAAACAUGAAAAUAUCCUUCCCAUCUGCUGUUUGUGAAGAAAUAAAGGCAGGCGACCAUGACAGCACUUGAUGUAACAGGGAUGUGAAAACACCCACCCACCAUCCCCCGCCCAGCGCCAAGGGUUUCUGCAAGUGCCUCUGGGGACCCAGAAGGCUUUGCUUGAGCUCCGCACCAUCAAGUGGGAUGAAAAGACCGGUAUUUCAAAUGAUUCCUGCACCAUCGCCAGCUAUCCAGGACUAAGGCGCUUGCUUCAACCUUAUUAGCAAAUGUCCUAUGAAAGAUAAACCUAGAUAGCCAAAACCUCGUGAGUGAAGUCUCUUGGAAAAUUCAGUGAUCCCCCGCAUGGGUGAUCUUCCAGGGCAUCAGAUGCAAGAAACCAAAGCAUGAGGAUCCUUUUGUUAAAAUUCUUCUGCUUGGAGAGGAGUGCUGCAGGAAUUCAAUUUUAAAUAAGUCUCAAAGAUGCAACUUUUAAAAUAUAUGUAUUUAGUUGUCUGUUUCUGAAUGCAAGGCUGUCUUUUUGGACAGAGUUCUCCUGUAGAUUUAAUGAAUAUGUAGAUCGCUAUAAUUAUGCCAGCUACUGAAAUUCAUAAUGUCUAUGGAGGCUAUUCCACUGCCUCUUAAAUGUUGGUAGUGCAUUUCAGUGAAUCAACAAGAAAAAAAAUGAAUAUUAAUACAAGUAUAUGACUGCUCUAGACACUAACAAAGAUAUACCUGCUCAAAAAAUACACAACCAAAAUUUGGGUCAUUGAUUGAUCAUAUUGGCUUCUCACCUGAAAGAGCUCAUGAAAUCAACUCACUUCUCUUUCACGUAAGGCCGGGCAGUUAAACAGAAUGACUAUUUCCUUUAAUUUUUAGUACUAUUUACUAUUGAAAUCUUUGCAACUUCUUUCUACACGAACAGUUUUAAAAUUUUAACAGGUGCAGGCAAAUGUGAAAAAAAAUAAAAAAAAAUUAAAAAGCCUCACUGUAAAAACUGUGAAAGGCAAGCUUGAGUACCUUGCGUACCUAUGGCUGAGGAGAUAAACAACUGAAAUAUGCCUCCCAGGCACGCAGACACCAGGGGCCCAACACCUGUGCCUCAUUAAUAUACAAGUAAAUCUGCUCCACUGGGAAACAAUUGGAAAUUAAUUGUCCCAAACCAGUUACUGAGUUUGAAUAAAGGAAGCAGACCUACAUUCUCUGCAUCUUGUACCAAACUAAACCUCAAGAAUCAUUUGUCAACAGUUGAGGCUACUGAGGGCGGCUUUAUGAAAUUUCCCUCAGAUUCCAUAGUGCCACGAUAAACUAAUAAUGUAAAAUUUAUUAUCCAAGCUGCAAGCCUGGCACUCUCUUCAGAAAGACGAACUCAAAAGGAAGUCUCGAAACCUCUCGAUCAUUCUCUGUGUCCCGCGCGUGGCUGUCCCUGGCCAGGCCCCACUGGUGUUUGGAAAGAAAAGCCGCAUACGAGGGACCUCAGAUCCAGCAUCCCAACCAGCGGCACGCGGAGCACGCUGAGCCCUGACUGUGGAGCAAGCUGCGUCUCCCACACCCAGCCUUCCAGGAGAGCGGCCGACGCAAUGGUCCCCUAAUGCCCUGAGCAGAGAACUCCAGCCUCACCCCAGAGCCCUGCACUGGGGGAAAUAAAUUCCUACCACCACUC